CCUCCUCCUCCUCCUCCGCCUCCGCUCGCUCCUCCCUCCGCCUCCCCCGGCAGCACGUGCGCGCCCCGCCCCGGCGGCCCCCUUUUAGCCGCGCCUCUCGCCGGAGCGCCCCCGCUCGUUUCGCCUCUUUUUCUCCGGGUCUGUUUCGGGCCGGUUUCUUUGGGUCGCCGGCCGGCUCCGGUCGCCGAGGAGGGUGUUUUUUUGGGUGCCUCCUGGCCGAUCCCAGCGUGAGCCGCUGCUUCCGUCCCCGCCUUCGCCGUCGGACGGUGGUGGUGCCUGCCGCCUGCCUCGUUCGAUCUCGGCGACGGGGAGGCCGAGAUUCGGAACCCCGGGGGACGGCUCAUGGCUUCCAUGGCGGUCGCGGAGGAAAGGGAUGCCAUGGAUUCAUCUAGGAUGCCGAUCGGCAAAGGGCUAUCGGUGGAUGUUGCAAUGGAGCCCAAUGAGGAGGGCAUGGGUGAGCAUCCUGUCAAGCCUAGGAAGCCAUACACGAUCACGAAGCAGCGGGAGAAGUGGACGGAGGAAGAACACGAGAAGUUCCUGGAGGCGCUGAAGCUGUAUGGUCGGUCCUGGCGUCAGAUACAAGAACACAUUGGCACAAAGACCGCUGUCCAAAUCCGAAGCCAUGCCCAGAAGUUUUUCUCCAAGGUGGUGCGUGAACCUGGUGCUAAAAUUGAGAUCGAGAUCCCUCCCCCUAGGCCAAAGAGGAAACCACUACAUCCAUAUCCUCGCAAGCGUGCCAACUCCUGCAACGGAGCAAACCCAGCAAAUGGGCAAUCCAAGCUUGCUCAAAUUUCAUCUUCUUCUGGUUCUGACCAAGAGAAUGGUUCUCCCGUGUCGGUGCUAUCUGCGAUGCAGUCGGAUGCCUUUGGAUCAUCGAUGUCAAACCCCUCAUCUCGCAGUACCUCCCCAGAGUCAUCAGAUGAGGAGAAUAAUGUUCCUCCAAUGGUCAGCGAAGAGGAAGGUCAACAAACAGGGAUAGAUCAAUCCCACAAGGAAGCUGAUCAGGAAAACAUAGAUAUGGGUACCUCUGAAGAGGAUUCUUCUGAUGAGGUACAGGUAACAAGUGUGAAGCUGUUCGGGAAGACGGUCGUCAUCCCAGACCCGAGGAAAAGAUGCUCCCCGGAUACAGGCUCAGGGCAUGAAAACGGAGAGCAAACCUCACAAUCCUCUAACAUAGGAACAUCACAAGCCCCACUGGCUGUAGAGAUUCCAACACAUACAAAGGGAGGGCAAAUCUCACAAUCCUCUAACAAGGCAACAUCACAAGCCCCAUUGGCUGUAGAGGUUCCGACGUAUACAAAUGGAGAGCAAAUCUCAGAAUUCUCUUACAAGGCAACAUCACAAGCCCCAUUGGCUGUAGAGGUUCCGACAUGUACAAAUGGAGAGCAAAUCUCAGAAUUCUCUUACAAGGCAACAUCACAAGCCCCAUUGGCUGUAGAGAUUCAAGCAUACGCUGCGCCGCCAAGUGCGUGGGUUCUUCCAUACAAUUCAUUCCCGCUCCAUUUCGGGGAAUCAGCGGAAGCCAGAAUUGCCCGUUUGCACAUGUGGUGGCCAUACUAUGGGUUUCCUAUGGUCCAUCCAAGUGGACCGAGUGCAGUGGCACACAACGGAAAAGUUACUGAUGAGAGCGAAGCUGCGAAGAGCCCUCCAGUUGAAUCAAGCUUGGACUUCGUUGACAAUACUCAGGCAACAGCCAGCAAGCAGUGGAAAGUGCUUGAGUCGCUUGGAACAGCGCAGGCCCCUCCUUCGGCUUCUAAUUUUCAGCUUAAACCAAGCACGAACUCGGCCUUCGUGAGAGUGAAGCCGAUCAUCAGCAGUGGAGAUGAGCCGGAGGAGCCUGUUCCACAUAUUCCUUUGCUCCACUGUAUUCUUAGGUUUUACUUGCACAUAGAGAUUGGCGGCGGUCUGGUCCGGGAAAUGCGCGUUGUUUCCUGCUUGCGCCUUGUAAUGAGCAGGGCACAGGUGGUUGCUGAUGCAAAUAUCUCAUGUGAAGAACCGAAAUGGAAAUGGAUAGCUGAAGGAUUCAUUUCGACAAAACAGAUGAAAGUCAAACUACUUGAUGGGGAAGGUCUGCAUAUUCUCAUGGGUAUGCCUUGUUUGGCCUAUCUCCAGCUAAAAGUCUCAAUUCAGCUGGCGUCCUGACUGUAAGUAGUAACAGAUUCAAGCUGCUAGAGGUGUUCGACUAUAGUAUCUGGUGUGGUGAAGAAACGGGUAUAAAAUUUGCAGCAGGUGCGAUGACAGCACUCCGAUGGCACAACCUUUCCUGGAGUGCAACUCAAGUUUAGUUGAGAUAUGGUGAUGGUUCGAACAUAGGCAUCGAACAUCUUGCAAGCCUUGUGUACCUCCGGGUCCAAACUUUUUGUGAUGAUGCAACUCGGGAGGAGGUGUUGAAGAUGAGAUGUUUAAGAGUUAUGAGGAGAGGGCAAAGGAGGGGGACAGGCGCAGGGAAGCAGAUAUUUGGAAAAUGCAAGAUUUGUAUGCUUCAGCAACCAAUUGAACUGAACCGGCUGUAG